ensembl:lncRNA
AAGAAAAAAGAAAACCCCUGCCCAUUUUGUUCUGCAGAGUCAUUCUUCUCGGAUCACAACAUUGCAGAGAAAGGGUGUGGGAUAUUUUGACUCAAAAUGGCAAGUCGCCUUUUAGUAUCAACACUAUCUAUCGAUAUCAAUAUUUUAGUAUCUAUAGCUACUCUCUGGCAACCAUAAAGCAACAACAAGCUCCAGAACAUCAGGGGCUGGGUGAUUUCAGCUAAUAUGCAUGAUUUGUUUAUUAAGAAAGUGAUUUUUUUUUACUUGGUAAACCCAUUUUACUGAUCUACUGUCGUGUUCUAAUUAUAUUUGGGGAAGAUUUAUUUAGUUGUACAUCAAAAUCAGAACAUCUAAGUACCCUGAUACCAGGACACUCUCUGAACUCUUUUGCUAUAAUGUCAGAUGCUCUUUGUAUUGGCAUGCACAAGAUAAUAACGACAUACUCUCACUCAGAAUUUCACCCAUCAACUUGCAUUUUACUUGAAAUCAGACAAAAGUAAAUUGUCUUUAUGUAUUUUAGAGAGAAAUGAAAAUUAUCACUGAAAAUAAAAAACAAGGAGAGGAGAUAGAGAACAGACUGGAAGAGUCACUGAAACGUACGAGACACAGAAGCAUGGAGAAUUUAAAACCAGAUCUCUCUCAUGAUCCAGUCAAACCUGCAGGGUCUCGUUCUCAUGUAUCAGAGACGCUUCAAGAAGUGAAAACACUACACAUUCAUUUUUAUUGCUGAAAUCUUCAGCCACAGUCUCCACAUCUCCGUGACCUUGAAAAAAAGAAGAAUGGAAAUCUUCAAGCAGAUCAGACGAAACAGAGUUUCUUGCCAGAAUGGUUAAUAGUUGAAUUGACCUCUGUUUUCAUGUACGUAAGUGCUUUGAAAGACCCAUCCUGCAUCACCUAAAAUCAUGACUGAACCAUUCAAGACCCUCUGCAGUUUGCUUUCAGAGCAGUGCCUUUUUCUGCAUCAUCUGCACUUCUGGAUGUUAAAUGUUCACCACUUAUGCAAA